rnacentral:rRNA from 1 species
AGAGUUUGAUCCUGGCUCAGGACGAACGCUGGCGGCGUGCUUAACACAUGCAAGUCGAACGGUAAGGCCCCUUCGGGGGUACACGAGUGGCGAACGGGUGAGUAACACGUGGGUGACCUGCCCUGUACUUCGGGAUAAGCCUGGGAAACUGGGUCUAAUACCGGAUAUGACCUUCCCCUGCAUGGGGGUUGGUGGAAAGCUUUUGCGGUACAGGAUGGGCCCGCGGCCUAUCAGCUUGUUGGUGGGGUAAUGGCCUACCAAGGCGACGACGGGUAGCCGGCCUGAGAGGGCGACCGGCCACACUGGGACUGAGACACGGCCCAGACUCCUACGGGAGGCAGCAGUGGGGAAUAUUGCACAAUGGGCGAAAGCCUGAUGCAGCGACGCCGCGUGAG